UACGUAGGGGGCGAGCGUUGUCCGGAUUUAUUGGGCGUAAAGAGCGUGUAGGCGGCCAGGUAGGUCUGCUGUGAAAACUCGAGGCUCAACCUCGAGACGUCGGCGGAAACCAUCUGGCUAGAGUCCGGAGGAGGAGAGUGGAAUUCCUGGUGUAGCGGUGAAAUGCGCAGAUAUCGUAAGGAAGACCAGUGGCGAAGGCGGGUCUCUGGACAGUUCCUGACGCUGAGGCACGAAGGCCAGGGGAGCAAACGGG
rnacentral:rRNA from 1 species